rnacentral:tRNA from 1 species
CGGAGCGUGGCGCAGUCUGGUAGCGCACUUGUCUGGGGGACAAGGGGUCGUGGGUUCGAAUCCCGCCGCUCCGA